GUCUCUUUGUUAUUUAUAAAUAAAGAGUUGGGCCUGCUCAGUGAAUAUAAUUUUAACAGCUGCGGUAUUUUAACUGUACUAAGGUASCAUAAUAGUUUGCCUUAUAAUUUGAGGCUGGAAUGAAUGGUUUGACGAAGGUUAAUCUGUCUCUAUUUUAUUUAUUAGAAAUUAAUUUUUAAAGUGAAAAAGCUUAAAUUUUUUAAAGGGACGAGAAGACCCUAUUGAGCUUAUAAUUUUAUGUUUACUAUUAUAUUAGUUAGUAUACACUAUAAAUUUUAAUUGGGGUGAUUAAGGAAUAAAAUUAAGUAACUUCCUUAAUAUUAAAUAAAUAGGUGUAUUAAGUAACCAAUAAGUUUAUAUUGCUUGUAUUAUAGUUACCAUAGGGAUAACAGCGUAAUUUACUUAAAGAGUUCUUAUUGAAAAGUGGGAUUGCGACCYCGAUGUUGGAUUAAAGUAACCUUAAGGUGUAGGAGCUUUAUAGGUAAAUCUGUUCGAUUUUUAAAACUUUACA
rnacentral:rRNA from 1 species